rnacentral:rRNA from 1 species
CCCUUAGAUGUUCUGGGCCGCACACGCGCUACACUGAAGGAGGCAGCGUGUACUCCUGGAUCGAAAGAUUUGGGUAACCCGCGAAUCUCCUUCGUGCUAGGGAUUGAGGUUUGCAAUUAUCCUUCAUGAACGAGGAAUUCCCAGUAAGUUCAAGUCAUAAGCUUGCGCUGACUACGUCCCUGCCCUUUGUACACACCGCCCGUCGCUACUACCGAUUGAAUGAUUUAGUGAGGACUUCGGACUGGGACCGAUGCGGCUUUCGGGCUGCGUCGGUAUUCUGGAAAGAUGUCCAAACUGUAUCAUUUAGAGGAAGUAAAANUCGUAACA